UGGGCCAGUGAUGAAGUUGGAGGGUGUCUAAAGAAAACGUUUUGAUUAGAGCCACCUGGAACGCUGAGGUCCAU
ensembl:snoRNA